AUGGCGUCUAGCGAGGGAAAUUAUCACCGUAGAGGUUCUUACUUUGCUGGUACUAAUUUUGCUAGUUGGGAGCAUAAAAUGAAAAUGCAUAUUCUUGGACAUAACCCCGCCGUUUGGGCUAUUGUGUGUGUUGGUUUGCAAGGUGACUUCUUUGAUGGGAGAGAACCGAACCGUGAAGUUACCGCGGAUGAGUUGAAGAUGUUGCAAUACAAUGCUCAAGCUUGUGAUAUUCUCUUCAACGGAUUGUGCCACGAAGAAUUCAACAAAAUCAGCCGCCUUGAGAAUGCAAAGAAAAUUUGGGACACUUUGAUUGAUAUGCACGAAGGUACCGACUUUGUCAAGGAAUCCAAGUUGGAUGUGCUUCAAAGCCAAUUUGAUAAGUUCAAGAUGAAGGAUGGUGAAGGUGUCGCCGAAAUGUACUCUAGGCUUGCUCUCAUCACAAAUGAGAUUGCCGGCUUAGGAAGUGAAGAGAUGAUCGAUAAAUUCAUCAUCAAGAAGAUUCUAAGAGCCUUGGAUGGAAAAUAUGAUACCGUGUGCACAUUGAUUCAAAUGAUGCACAAUUACAACGGAGGUGAUUGGAAGAAUUGUUGCUCAUGA
rnacentral:rRNA from 1 species